ACCAGUUUUUCCUUGCGUGCCCGUGUGUUCCUGGGUAUUGGGAAUUGAAUCAGAGUGUAAUUCACCUCCUCCAUUCUGCUGCUUUCCAGUGUACUCUGUUAAUGGCUUCUUUCCUUUAAAGUCUUUCAUUUGCAGUUUCAGAUGUGUUAGUAAAGAUAACUUUAGCUCUAAAAAUAUGCCGUGCUAUCAUGUGCUUCUGUAUGCCGCCUCAGAAUGGAAGAAAAAAUGACCUCCUUCCUCACGCAGCAUAAGACAUAGGAAUGAACUUGCUUACGUGAAUACAGGAAGAAGAGUUUAUGUCCCUGGUUCCAGUCCCGAACACUGAAGUCAAUGAAUGAAUGCUGCUGACUUCUUUGAUAACCGUCACUCGCUGCAACAUGUCACCUCUAAAAGAUAAGAUUAAUACUGAGCCAAUACAACCAGUGAAAAAUAGGGCACAAAGUUACCCAGAGGAACCAAUAACAAGGGAAAGAAACAUGAAAAACCAGAC
rnacentral:lncRNA from 1 species